rnacentral:lncRNA from 1 species
GGGAAUUAAGAUGAAUAAAGAGGCCGCCAACAUAUCGCCCGAGUCUAAAUCUUUCUUAGGAAUUCGAGGACAUCGUAAGGAACGCAGCGUGGAAAAGCCCAGCAGAAGAGGCAGGAGAUGGCCCUAGCUCCAUAGCUGCACCUGCGCCAUCCACAACACCGCAGGGAUGUGCUGUUCCAGAAGUGUGUGCAAAAAUGCAGGAACAAAAGGAAGCAUGCAGUUCUGCAACGCGGGAUGAGCCUGAAAAAAUACUCACAGAUGUGAAUUUAAUUAUCAUUUGAAUAACCAGGAGAAACAGAGAUGGGGAGAAGUCACACAACUCCGUAAGAACAAGAACAUCAGCGUCCUGUGGACCCAAGAGUGUCAGAGAAGAAGAAGAAUGAACCAUCCAAUGUACAUGAACCAUCCAAUGUACGUGAACCGUCCAAUGUACGUGAACCAUCCAAUGUACGUGAACCAAUGCGUGUGCAAGACUCUACUUUUCAAAGCAUGUUUUUCCCAUUGAGUCACGGGCCACCUUAACUUCCCACCAAAGUUCUCACCAAAUAAAAAUAUUCAUAGCAACCUUCAGGUACAAAUAUUACUACUAUCUUUUUGAAUUUUUAGGGAAGCAACCUGAUGAUCAGAGAGAUUUGCUUAGAGUCACUGAGCUUGUAAGGGCAGACCUGGGACCUUCACAGCAGAUUCUUCUGAUUAUAAAUCCUGAGACUCCACCUGUGGGGUGACUGCAGAAGGACCCCCAUAUUCCAUCGCCUACCCAGCAGCCUGCCAGAGUCAAGUGUUCUUGUGUGUUAUGGAGUUCCCCACCAUUCAUGCACCAGGGCUACUGGAAUUUGAACCAUGUUGGGAGGGGACUGGUCUUAUCCAAGUAGACUGUGGUGAUCAAUGUGUGCAGAAUAAAACUGUGCUAAGCAAGGACUGCCAGACAACUUGGCCCCAAGGGAACAGAUAUUAAAAAAAAAUCAGAGGCAACCCACUAGCAGCACCAUGACCCCCUAGAGGCAGUGCGAGAGAGCCUUUGUCCACCCUCCCAUUCUAGCAAUGAGGAAAGAGGGGAAGUGGCUGCUGUCAGAGCCAAGUCCAGAAGUAGGAACUUGUGGUGGAAGCCCACAAGGCUCACACAUGUCUCUCCAGAAUACUCGUUACAAAUCUGCUCAACAAUUGUCAUUUAUCUCUGCCUCCAUCUCUGCGUGGUGCCUGAUUCUCAGGAGGCCACUGAUUUGGCCCCAGUAGACAUUUAGCUGGGAAAGUCUCCCUGUUCCUCAGAUCUCUAGCCUCCACUGGGUACUGCUGCCCUUUGAUGUAGGAAGAUGGCAGGAUGCACCUGAGAUCAUCACAAGUCACAGGCUAGAGGAGUUUUCUGCUGUUUGUGCCUGUGUGUGUUUCAUAACUGAUCUUUUUCUUUGUCAUAUGUAAAAUAGGGUUAAUGAUUUCUAUCAUCAGGGUUGUUUCAAUAAUAAACACUAUAAUAAAAAGCACUUAUAAGCCAGAUGUGCAUAUAUAAUAGAGAUAGAAAUAGAGAUGUGUGAAUAUAAUAGAGAUGGAAAUAAAUUAUUUAUUAAAUGCUGAACGAAAAAUUUUGGGGUAGUUAUAACAGCAUUCAUUAUGCAGAUGAGGUAGCUAUACAGUUCUUUGAGAAAAUAACAAUAAUA